ensembl:lncRNA
AGAAUCACAGAAUCACAGAAUGGCCUGGGUUGGAAGGGACCUCAAGGAUCAUGAAUCUCCAACCCCCCUUCCGGGCAGGGCCACCAACCUCCACAUUUACUAGACCAGGCUGCCCAGGGCCCCAUCCAACCUGGCCUUGAACACCUCCAGGGAUGGGGCAUCCACAAGCUCUCUGGGCGGCCCAUUCCAGCACCUCACCACUCUCCUGAUGACAUCAGAGGAGCAGUCUGACAAAAUGGCAUCUGACCUGGAAGAGCAUAUGAAGCAAACUGAAUUCCUGACUGAACUGAAGAUAAUGAAUUCCUCCAUGCAGGAAAAAUGGCACCCAGUGACAUUCACUGAAAGUUUAUGGAAACCAGACAGUGGAUGAGAGCACAGUGAGGGCAGUCAUAGAACGGCCUGGGUUGAAAAAGACCUCAAAGAUCAUCUAAGAUCAUCAGGAAAAGUCAGGUUCUGUGUCAUGCUCAGAGAACUUGAGGAGAAGAUGUGCUUGGACUAGAGCUGCUCCAGCAACAGGAUAAAAAAGUGCAUCAUGAUGAGCCAAAAAGACACAUUAGAUAUUUCUGUUAUGGUAAUACACUUGUGCUUUUCCAUGAAACUGAAGCAUACUAAUUUCAUGCAUGCCUACCAAAUCACAUUUUCGGCUAACAGAAAUAACCAUAGAUAAUGUCAGCUUACUAAUGGGCAUGUGGUAGAAUUUCUUUUGACUGUUUGACAAGCCUCAAACACAUGUCUUGCACAAACUCAUGUCUUGCCCAGCUGUGCUUGGAGACAUAGCUGUGAGCUUCUUCAGUUCUGUUGAUGGAUUCCGUGCUGCCAACACAUUAAUCUGUUUCUGUAGAUAAAUCAGGCACAAAUAAAAGAGCAUAUGUUAAGUCAUAAUAGUGCUUAAGCA